rnacentral:tRNA from 1 species
GGCACUAUAGCCAAGUGGUUACGGCGACAGAUUUGAAAUCUGUUCCUCUUUGAGGGCGCAGGUUCGAACCCUGCUGGUGUCG